CUCUUGAACCAGGACUGGACCAGGACUCUUGAACCAGGACUGGACCAGGACUCUUGAACCAGGACUGGACCAGGACUCUUGAACCAGGACUACAAGCCUUUCAGAGAACGUGGAGCUCCAUCCAUCAGGCUCAGCCAGCCAACAUGGCCUCCAGCCUUUGGACUCGGACCUCUCUCAAGCUGAGACGGGGGCCGGCGUGACGCUCAGAGGAGCUGCUGCUCUGACAGGCAGCGGCGCCGAGACACUGAUGGUUUUUGUCAAGCUGAGGCGGUAAAACGCUGCAGCGACCCAUAAAUAUUGAAGCUGCCCAGAGGCCGCUGACCCGCUCRGGAUGAUGGUGUCUAAAGGUCCGCUCUGAGAGAGGACAGGAGGAAGAAGGUCAGGGCUGCUGCAUCUGAUGAAGUGCUGCCAACAGAUGUGGAUGCAAGAGGCAAUGCGACCCCAGGGUGAUCAGAACAAUAAAAUGCUUCAUGUUCAGCUCUAAAGCUCCUGAUGUAGACGUGUUUCAGGUGACUAUCAGACACCUGUAGGUCCUCUAGAUCUAAUACCUAAUACAUGUGCAUCCUUUUUGUCUCUAUGUCCCCUUGAUGCAUCCUUUUUGUCUCUAUGUCCCCUUGAUGCAUCCUUUUUGUCUCUAUGUCCCCUUGAUGCAUCCUUUUUGUCUCUA